rnacentral:rRNA from 1 species
GGGGGCUAGCGUUGUUCGGAUUUACUGGGCGUAAAGGGCGCGUAGGCGGGCGACUAAGUCAGGGGUGAAAUCCCAAGGCUCAACCUUCGAACUGCCUUUGAUACUGGUUGUCUUGAGUCCGGGAGAGGUGAGUGGAACUGCGAGUGUAGAGGUGAAAUUCGUAGAUAUUCGCAAGAACACCAGUGGCGAAGGCGGCUCACUGGCCCGGAACUGACGCUGAGGCGCGAAAGCGUGGGGAGCAAACAGG